ACGAGGAUUAAUACUGCGUAACAUUAUUGAAUCGCAUGGUUUAAUAAUCAAAUCUACGGAGGUUACAGAUGGGCAUGCGUGCCAUUAGUUAGAUGGUGAGGUAACGGCUCACCAUGACAUCGAUGGCUAGGGGUUCUGCAAGGAAGAUCCCCCACACUGGUACUGAGACACGGACCAGACUCCUACGGGAGGCAGCAGUGAGGAAUAUUGGUCAAUGGAGGCAACUCUGAACCAGCCAAGCCGCGUGAAGGAAGACUGUUCUAUGAAUUGUAAACUUCUUUUGUGGUAGAGUAAAGAUAGCUACGUGUAGUUAUUUGCAAGUAUACCAUGAAUAAGCAUCGGCUAACUCCGUGCCAGCAGCCGCGGUAAUACGGAGGAUGCAGGCGUUAUCCGGAUUUAUUAGGUUUAAAGGGUGUCUAGGCUGCCACAUAAGUCAGGGGUGAAAGUCGGUUGUUCAACAAUCGAAUUGCCUUUGAAACUGUGUGGCUCGAGUAUAGAUGAGGUAGGCGGAAUGUGUAGUGUAGCGGUGAAAUGCAUAGAUAUUACACAGAACCCCAAUUGCGAAGGCAGCUUACCAAACUAUUACUGACGCUGAAGCACGAAAGCGUGGGUAGCGAACAGGACUAGAUACCCUGGUAGUCCACGCCGUAAACUAUGCUCACUCGCUGUUGGCAAUAGAUCGUCAGCGGCUAAGGGAAACCGAUAAGUGAGCCACCUGGGGAGUACGAUCGCAAGAUUGAAACUCAAAGGAAUUGACGGGGGCCCGCACAAGCGGAGGAACAUGUGGUUUAAUUCGAUGAUACGCGAGGAACCUUACCUGGGCUUAAAUGUAGAGUGCAUAAAGUGGAAACAUUUUUUUCCUUCGGGACUCUUUACAAGGUGCUGCAUGGUUGUCGUCAGCUCGUGCCGUGAGGUGUCGGGUUAAGUCCCAUAACGAGCGCAACCCCUAUCGUUAGUUACCAGCACGUAGUGGUGGGGACUCUAGCGAAACUGCCGGUGUAAACCGUGAGGAAGGUGGGGAUGACGUCAAAUCAGCACGGCCCUUAUGUCCAGGGCUACACACGUGUUACAAUGGUCGGUACAGUGGGCAGCCACAUAGCAAUAUGGAGCUAAUCUCAAAAGCCGAUCUCAGUUCGGAUUGGAGUCUG
rnacentral:rRNA from 1 species